CAUUUGCUCUCAUUGCCCUCCUGGCUCUCUCUCAUGUUAAUGCUUAGAUUCAGGGAGAAGCCCCUGAAGAGUUUCUUACAAUUACACUGCAUUGAGCCAGGGAAAGGCACUAUGAGUCUUGCUGUCGCCCAGGCUGGAGUACAUUGGUGCGAUCUCGACUCACUGCAAGCUCCACCUCCCGGGUUCACGCCAUCCUCCUGCU